GUUCUGUACUUUUUUGCCUUGAAGGUUUUAUACAUUCCAAAUUAGAGGAUUCUCUGUAUGUAUAUAUUUUAAUUAUUAUUUGCACUGUUUGGGCGCGUUUAACCACUUUUGUCUCUUAUGUAGUUGUAACCAGACAAGUUGGACACACAGGAACAGAGGGGUUGAGGGCCCUGCUCAAUGAGCUUACAUGCUAGAGGGAGUGGGGUAAAAUGACACAAAAAGGUAAUUUUACCCCAUUGUACCUCAUUUUACCUCAUUCAAGCGUGGCCAUUGCUGCACAUGCGCAUUAGGUCUCCUCCUGAUGUCAAAGGGGGAGGAGCGUGGGUAAUGACUGGCCAGCGCCGAAGGACAUCGACGCUGGAUUCAGGUAAGUGACUAAAGGGGAUUUAAUCCCUUCAGUACCGCAGGAGGGGGCGGGGGGGGGCACGAGGGCACUGCAGGAGCCUAUAGUGCCAGGAAAACUGCUUUGUUUUCCUGGCAUUAUAGAAUCCCUUUAACUGAGCUAACAAAACCAAGAAGUAACAGCACAGGUUGCCUGACUGACAACUAUGGGGAGGCAGUGUAACAAAGUAAAUCUAUAAAAGUGAAAGCUG